rnacentral:lncRNA from 1 species
UUUUUUUUCUUUUUUUUUGUCUUUUUGCCAUUUCUUGGGCUGCUCCCGCAGCAGAUGGAUGUUCCCAGGCUAGAGGUCUAAUUGGAGCUGUAGCUGCCGGCCUAUAUCACAGCCACAGCAACUCGGGAUUGGAGCCAAGUCUGUGACCUACCCCACAGCUCACAGCAACGUUUGAUCCUUAACCCACUGAGCGAGGCCAGGGAUCGAACCUGCAUCCUCAUGGAUGCUAGUCAGACUUGUUUCUGCUGAGGCACGAUGGGAACUCCUGUAUCUCAAUAAAGCUCUUAUUAAAAACACAAACAGAUUGGCAACCCUGUCCUGCCCUGGGGAGGUAGUCAAUCAUGGAACGAUCCCUUAGAUCCACUUUAGCAAUCCGAGUCUGGUAGAAAGAGCUGCAGCCUCCUGGUUUAUCUGAGUUAUGAUUCCAGAGCAGGGUAGUUGUUGCCUUCCCACAGCCCAAAGUCCCCAACAUGGACACUGGAAAACUACCUACAAGGACCCUGUUCACCUGGCAAGGCUUGUCUCCUGCUAAUCCAGCCUCACCACACACAAGCAUCAUUCUGCACCCCUGAGGUCGUCUACACACCAGGCUACCACCUCUCCCUGUAAACCUCUUUUACCCAACUCUUAUACAUCCUUCUAGACCCCACUUAGGUGUAGCUUCCCUAAAUGGCCUCCCUGAACCCCAGAGGCUGGAAGCCACCUCUUACUUGCCUUGGUGGCAUCCACAUCUAGAGUGUCUGGCACCCAGUAGGUGCUCAGUAAUUGUGGAUGAAACAGCCUAACAAGCCAUUUUUUGCAGCCUGGACCUAGGAAGGAAGACCCAGCUGGGAUACACGGCAGUGAGGAAGGUAAAGCAUCAGGACCGGGGGCCGGGGGGAGAAGAGGCUGUGUCAGCAUGGCCCACACAAGGCCCGGAGGCAGAGUCAUCCUCCUCUUCCUCUCAGCAGGUACUUUCCAUGAGCAACAGCCUCCUUCUCCUCCAGCUGUCAUCUUGCCCCAGUGUCGAAACUGCUACCCUCCCGGGGAAAGUUACACACAACCAGCUAACGCCGAGACAGAAGAGCUUUGGAAAGAAGAAAAGAAGAUGAGCAUUGAUUAAGCAUCUCCUCCGUGUAGGUCCUGUGCUGGAAACUGUCACAUAGAUUACAUUCGUCAUUCCUCAAAAUAAGCAAGCAUCAGUAGCUCUCACUUUUCCAGAUUAAGGAACAUGCCCGGUUACCAGGGGGCGGGGGACAACUUGGGGGGAGGGAGUGGGAGAUACAGACUAGUGGGUGUGAGAUGGGCUACAAGGAUGUAUUGUACAACAUGGGGAAUAGAGCCUAUAUUCUGUAACAACUGUAAAUGGAGUAUAACCUCUAACCAAAUUAUACAAAGAAUAUAAAUUGUUUCAAGAAAUCUUAAAACAGUCUGAACCAAUUUCAAUUUUAACAUAAAUUAAAAUUCUUUUACUUUAGCCAUUUUGACAUCAACACUAUCAUUCGUAACUAAAAAAAAAACAAAAAACAAAAAACAAAAAAAAGCCCCACCAACCCUAUCAGUCUUAACAAAUAAAUAAAUCUAAAAAAUUUAAAAAGGAAAGAAAAAAAGAAACAAGCCUAAUACCACAUUGAGAGGGACAAACAGGAUGGGAAUUUGAAUCUAGGUCCUCCUGGUUGUAAGGGCCCUGCUUGCCUAUUUUACCACCACGGCCUCAUCUUGGUUCUGUUAUUAACGAGUCUUGGGACCUGAUCCUUCCUCUGGCCC